rnacentral:tRNA from 1 species
GGGGAUGUAGCUCAGUGGCAGAGCACCUGCCUGGCAAGUGUGAGGUCCUGAUUUCCAUCCCCG